UUUAUAUUCUUCGUCGUAGUGCUGGACAUUUUUCAGGACAACACAACGAUGGGACUCAUUGUGUUCAGUGCUAUGAAUACUGAGUGUAAUACCAUGAAGAAUUAAAUUAUCUCUACACCUCGUCUGAUGAAUAUGGAGGCGACCUCAGUGAUGGCUAUGGAAUUAUCAUAUCCAUUCUCUAUUUCAUCCUAUGAAGUCACUAUAAGGGCUGGCUCAAGGUGGAGUGGAAAGCUUGGGACAGGAGUAUAUCUGCCAAUGCUUUUAGGUUUGCUGACCAGAAGCAGUUACUACUCCAAGUGAACUAGCAUCAACUGACAACCAACUACAUAUUAUAAAUUUCUCAAAAUGAAUCUACAGAUGUUAGUUUCUGUAUUGCAAAUAAAUAUUUUUUAUAA